GAAAGAAAAAAGCUCAGCCAAUAGCUUAGGCUUGUUUCUAUCUAGCUCUUAUAACUUAAAUCAACCCAUUUCUAUUAAUUUACUUUCUGCCUGGUGGCUUUAUUACCUUUACUCUGCCCAUGUUACUUUCCUGCUUCCUCGGUGUCUGGUUGGUGACUCCUCAUGACUCCAUCAUUUUUCUUCCCAGCAUCCUCUCUGCCCCAAAUUCCUGCCUAGCUGUCAUCCAUUCAACUUCCUAUUAAACCAGUCCAAGUGACAAAAAUUUACAGCAUACAAAAAGAUUAUUCCGCCGGGCGGUGGUGGCGCACGCCUUUAAUCUCAGUACUCAGGAGGCAGAGGCAGGAGGAUCUCUGUGAGUUCGAGGCCAGCCUGGGCUAUCGAGUGAGUUCCAGGACAGGCUCCAAAGCUACACAGAGAAACCCUGUCUCGAAAAACCAAUAAAUAAAUAAAUAAACAAAUAAAUAAAUUAUUCCACAACAGAACUUAAUGAUAAAAAUGAAAGUAGUUCAGUCAGUACAGAAAGUAGUUCAGUAUUUUAGUCAAGUCCACUCUGGUUGUAGGUAUAUGAGGUGCCUAAUCCUAUGAAUAGAACAUAGAAUAUCAAUUAACUGAGAUGUUAGUUUACUGUAUCUUUGUCUAAGUAAAAAUAACAUAGAUUUUUUUAAAUAACAUUUUUUCUGUACUUUAGAGUUAAUACUAUUGAAAAUGUAUGCUACCAUUAAAUAGCUAAUAAGAAAUAAGUAUAUAUAGCUAAUAACUAGAAAAUUGAGUUGUACUACCAGAUCUGACAUCAAUAGACUCUUGAUAAGUCAGUUCAGUCUUUGGAUUUGGGGCAAACUAACAGCAUCAGCACUCAUUAAACAGUGCUUUUCAAUGUACAAAGUGUUUUCUUUUCAAUCAUACUUUUUCUUUUUUUCUUUUCUUCUUUUGGCAAUUUAGAAACUGAGGCUCAAGAAAGUGACUUUCUAAACCUAGUGGUUAAUGCUUAUGUAAUUGUACAUAUUAUAUAUCAAGAAGAAAGACACUGAUGAAAGGGAAUGAUUGGGAAUGUAGAAUCAAGAAAGGACAACUCUAUAAAAAAAAAACAACUGAGAAAACAUGGAUCUAAGCGUCCUCAGAAAGUGAGGAAGGUCAGCUUUAAAGGAGUAAAUAAACACUGGCUUUUGGAGACGAAAUGCUGGUUCUAACACAGUAGUUCAUCCAGAGUCAGGAGAAAGUUGAUGCUGAUGUCUAUGACUGUUAGGCUUGGUGAUGAUAAGUGAUAUCUGAUCCCUUUAGAUUUCUAUGAGGUUUGUAAAGUCAUUUGAGAAUGAAAAAAAAAAAAUGUGAGAAAAAGGACAUUUGUAAAACUUGUUUCAAAGAAAGGGUCAUCAAGCUGACUAAAUAAACAGUGGGGUUGCUAACUGGCACAUUUACUGUUGAGGUUACUGACUAUAAAUGAAUGAAAUUGUGUGCUUUCCCCCAGGAAUCUGUCUUUUCAGAUUCAAAUAUAGAAAUUGGGAAUAGUAUUGUUUAAAAUGUUGGUUGUUACACUAUAAAUCCACUGUAGCUAAAACAAUGACAAUAAUACAUAGCAGUAUUUGGAAGUCUUGUUUAAUAAAUCAAUUAAAAACAAACAAGUGCUUGGAAAUUUAGGGCAAUGAUGAUCCUAAUUCAAGUGAAGAUGAACAAGAAAAGAAGUGAAGAGAAGAAAGAUAACAAAGUGUGCACUCAUCAAUAAAUUGUAAAUGUACUAUGAAGAGAAACGUGGAGUGAAGCGUGAUCCUAAUUAGUCUUAACAAUAAAAACCUGGAGUCAGAUAUUAGGGUGAAAGCUGAAAGAUCAGAGAAGCAGAGCAGCCAGCCACCUAGAGACGUCUUACCUUUACAAAAUUUCAGACCAAAUGGUGAGGGGCUCCUGUCUCUACAAAUCCUCAGACUGAACAGGCCCUGUCUCUAUGAAUUCUCAGACUGAAUGAGCAAGAACCUGUCUCCACCUGCCUUGUAUUCCUGUCUCCACCUCCCAAGUGCUGGGAUCAAAGGCAUGCAUCACCACUGCUGGGCUCUGUUUCUCUUAGACUGGUUCAAUCUCAUGUAGCCCAGGGAGGCUUUGAACUCCCGAUCUUCCUGCUUUCUCCUCCCAAGUGCUGGGAUUAAAGGUAUGAGCCACCAUGGCCUGUAGUUAACUAGUAGCUAGCUCCACCUCUGAUCUCCAGGCAAGCUUUAUUUGUCAGAACACAAACAAAAUAUCACACAACAGUGUAGGUCUAGAAGCAAUACAAGAACUGCAUCUUUGGUACCCCACAUGUAAAUAACAUUACAAUAAUGUUUGGGGGGGAAGAAACAACAUACAUGUGACAUCAAAGGAAGUCAAUGGCCAAGGUGAAACAGGCCAUUCACAUGAGAUGAAGAGGUCAAGGAACAGCAUGGCGUUUGCAGGUGAUGGGUUGUCUGUUGGAAUGAUGACACCCAACAUAGAGAAAGGACUUGAAGUAUAAAGGAAGACUCUAAAACAAAUAUCCAGUUUUUGAUAAAUGAGAGAAAAGAUUAGUGAGCCAACUGUCGAGUUACAGGGAUAGAACAAAAGUGCCACACACUAGUAACACAUGCCUAAAAGAUGAAGGUAUUUAUAGAAAUCAGUGAUUACUAGUGUGAAGUAAGGGGAAGUACCAAAUAAUGAUCAUUAAAUAAUAGACAGCAACUCAACAUGAUAAAGGAAAAGGAUACCCUGGAGAAUGAGAUUUCCAUUAUACCAAAUAUGGGAAAGAAAUGUUUUGAGAGAAAGUUAGAAAUAAAGGGAAGUGUGAUGAUUUUAAAGAGCAAGAGCACAGAUUGCCAGGAUGAUGGUGUAGGAGAGAAUUAUGAUGAAGAAUGCAUGGGCAGUGAGAAGAAGUUAGUGAAUGCUAAUUUUAGAUAUUGACUAAUGAGUAAAUGCUUGGAUCAUGGUAGAUUUAGCUUCAGGGUUUUUGUUUUGUUUUUUGAGUAGGUUGCAUUCUGGGCUUAAUGGUAAAAAGAUCUGGUUCACUUGGCUGAAGGGAACAGCCUCUGCAGUGCAACAAGCUUUGGUACAGUUCAGAGACAGGAAAGGUGUCAGCAGGCUACAGUAGGAACAUAAGCUAUAGCUCUGAUCUUCGUAGAGUUAAACACAUUCCAGGGAUAAACCCAACUUGUUCAUAUUUUAGCUUUUACAUAUACUGUUAGACUCGAUAUUUUAUUUAGUUUUAUACCUACACUAGUAAGUAUUAAAGGAUGAGAAUAAUGCCCUUUAAUUUUCCAUUCUCUCACUAUCUAUCUGGUAUUGAGAUUUUAUUAAUUUUCACAAUUGUGACAAAUGCUUGUCAUCUCAGCAUUCAGGAGGAGGAAGCAGGAAGAUUAGGAGUUAUAUAUACACUAGCUUGGACUACAUAGUGAAUUCCUGACCAGUCUGAACUACUUAAACCUUAGGCUAUCCUGGGUUAGCCUCAAUCUUAAAAAUAUCAAGAAAAAAAGGGGAGGAGGAGGCAGAGGAGGAAGAAGAGGAAGAAGAAAAUAUAUAUAUAAAAAUUUAAAAAAUAAUUUUCCCGUUUCUGUUAUCCAAAAGAACUUCUAUAAAAUGAUCUGUCAUCAAUUUGAUAGAAUCAACUUGUAAAUACAAUUAGGCCCUAUGGAUAUUUGCCAAGAUUUUGUAACCAUUGUUCUUAUUUCUUUGCUACUUACAGGACCGUCAGACUUUCAGUUUUCUUAUUUAAUAAAUUCUUAUCAGUUAUUUUUUUCAGGAACUUGUUGUUCAUAAUUGUUUUUAAAAAUUUUAAUUAUUUUUUCUAUGUGUAUGGGUGUUUUGCCUGCAUGUGUUUCUGUGCAUCUCAUGAGUGCAGUACCAGUGGAGGCCAGAAGAGGGCCCUGGGACUGGAGUUACAGAAAUUCAUGAACUGCCAUAUAGCAGCUGUGAAGCAUACCCAGGUCUUCUGGAAGAACAGCCAGUGCUUUUAACUGCCGAGCCGUUUCUCUAUCCCAUGCUUAUGCUUUAUUUCUGAGCUCUGUAGAUAUGUUUUUUCAAAGAUUCCUAUUGUCUGCUUAUGCUGCUUCCACAUGCUGUUCUUAUAUCCUAUUGGUCUUUUUAAAGAACCAGCUUUUCAUAUUUUGGAUUCUUCUUUAAAAUAAUUUAUUAGUUCUUUGAGAGUUUACACAAUGUGUUUCGUACUCACCCUCCACUGCCCCAACUCUUACCAGAUUCAUACCCCUUCUCUAUUCACCAAACUUUUUUUUUUUUAUAAAAACCUAUCCAGGCCAAUUUGAGCUACCCAAAUAUUCUUGGAUGUAUGGUCUUCCACUCACUCACACAUGAUAACUUGCCAGAGGUUAUACUCUUAAAGAAAACUGCCUCUCCUUCUCCUAGCAGCUAACAAUUGCCAGUAGCUCCACAGCUAGGGAUGGGAUUGUGUGUCCAGCUCCCACCUUCAUGCUGCGAUUUUCUUUGUCUUGGGCUUGCAUAGGUUUUGCAGAUGCUGUUACAACCACUGAGUUCGUAUAUGCAGCGGUCCUGCUGUGUCCCAAAGACACUGUCUUAUCUUACACUCUUUCUGUUCCCUCUUCUGCAAUCAUCCCUGAGUCUUUGGUGGAGGUGAUGCAGUGUAUACUUUCCAUUUAGGGCUGAGCAUUCUGCAGUAAGUAUCUUAUUCUCUUCCUCUUGGCUAGUUGUGGGUCUCUGUGUUGGCAACCAUCUAUUGCAAAUAGGAGCUGUAUAAACAGAAUUUAUAUCCCAUUGAUUUCCAGUCUUAUUUGCUUUCUCAUUAUUCUGCCUUCUGGUUUACUAUAUUUUCUUAACUUCUGGGUUAGAUAUUCAGAUAAUUUAUUGUCCUUUGGUUUUAUAAUUGUUUGUUUGUUGUGAUGAUGGGCUCUACCACUGAUCCAUUUUCCCAUGCCUUGUAAUUUAUGUUUCUAAAUUACAGUUUUUCAUCUUUGAUGUUUUGUUACUAAGAGUCUUAUUAUAUUUUAGUUUUUAAGAGUUUGUUAUUUCUAUAUAAAAGCAAUAUUUAAGGGAGUUUGUAGAUUUGAUAUUAAUAAAAAUGAAAUUGUUAAUUUUUACUUAUUGUAUUACAAUUCUAAUAUUUUAUUCAACAGUUUCUUAAUUUACCUUUGAGAAUUUUCCUUGCACUAAUUACUUCAUGAACUGUUUGUUGUAUAUAGACAACAAGCUUAAAUGAAGCUUUCUAAUUAUGUAGUUAUCAUUUGCAUGGGACACAUGACAUGCACGAGUAGGUUGCAUUCUGAGUAUAGCUUUUGCGAUUUUAUCUAGUAAAUAUUGAAAACAAUGUACUAUAAUCUGUGAUGAAUUAUCAUUUUUUCUUAUAUUCAGUUAUUUUUAUAAGAAACAAGGAGUAUUUUACAUGUUUAUUAUAUUCAUGUUUCUAUACUAUCCUGCUUUCUUCCUUGCUGUGACAAAUUAACUGACAAAAUGUAAUCUAAGGGAGUAAGGAGUUAUUCUGGCUUACAGUUCGAGGAGACACAGUCUGGCAGGAAAGACAUAGCAGAAGUGGGAGGCCAGCUGGAUCACUGUAUCUUCAGUCACAAAGCAGAAUGAACAGGACAUAGGUCAAGCUAUAAAGUCAUAAAGCCCAGCUACAAAUACCUCCAACAUGAAUCCACCUCCUAAGGCUUCUACAACUUUCUCCAAUAGUACCAUCAGGCUGGGACCCAGUGUUCAAAUUGUGCAGAAAGACAUCCCACAGCACCCGUCCACUGUGGCACCAAGCCCAGGCAAGUGGGUAUGAGUUGCAUAAGAAAGCUGGAUGAGUGAGAGCCAGAGGGAGCCAGCUAGUGAGCUACCCUUCGGUUUCUGCUUCGGUUUCUGCUUUAGUUCCUGCUUGAGCUCCUGCCGUCCCUCAGUGAUGGACUGUGAUCUGGAAGUGUAAGCCAAAUAAACGCCUUUCUUCCAAGUUGCUUUUCAUCAUGGUAUUUACCACAGCAAGCAAAAUGGAAUGUCUGCUUACAGCGUUCAAGGGCUUUUCUAACCCAAAGUUCCAAACCCUUUCACGUUGCUCUUGCUAACUAGUUGCAAAGGCCCAAGUGCCAUGGAGUUGGGUUUAUCUCAGCGGCAGCUCUACUUAGCAGCACUAAAUUUAUGUGUUAGUUACUUUUCCCAUUACUAACAUAAAAUACCUAGGGACAAGCAACUUAAGGAAGGAAGAACUUGAUACAGCGUGUGGUUUGAGGGAAGGCCUGGUGGCAGAAUGGAGGGCCAACUGGUCGCAGCGAAUCAGCAGUCAAGAAUUAAAGUUCAGUUAAUUGUUACUGUGUAAAUUCUAUGACAUCUCAUUAAGAACAUGCAUGUAUGAAAUUGUAGUCCUAGCUUUCAUGUACCACUUUGUCAUUAUUUCUAACAACAAUCAUUAUCAACAUCUUUUCUAUGUUUAAUAAUACUUUUCCUCUUUAAGGUUUUUUAUCUUAGUGUAGUGAUAAUUGCUUUUAAAAUUGUUAUUUGCCUUAUAUACAUUUUGCAUUAUGUUAUGUUCUAUUUUUCUGUAUCACUAAUGAUAAAUUAAUUUCUUUUGAAUAAAAGCACCUGGAAUUUUUUAUAAAAUCUAAUGAAACAUUACGGACCUUUAAAGUAGUAAAUUUAAAACAGUUAUGGUUUUGUCACUGCUACGUUUAGAAUUAUUUCCACGUAAAACUUUCACUUCGGAAGUUAUAAUAAUAGUAAAAAUAACUCUGGUUUCAAAUAGAUGACAGUGCAUGGCUCUUCUUUCAAAAAGAGCCAAAUGGAGUUUGAAAGCUCCCCUGAUUUUGUACUAGCCUCACCAUCCCCAAGAACAACAACAACAACAAAUCAAAACUUUACAAAGCUCCUUUCUCUUGAAAUACUUGAAAGAAAGAAAGAAAAAAGAAAAAUGUUAUUGAUAAAAUGGAUAUCUGCAAUGUGUAUGUCUGCAUGUGAGUGCAGGUGCCCAAGGAGACAACGUGCCAGUGGAUGUGGAUCCCUUGAAGCUGAAGAUAUAGGUGCUGGGAAGCAGCAGGACACGUGAUAUGGGUUCUGGGAACAGAAUUCAGGUCCUAUGCAAGAGCAGUAUACUCACUUAACUACUGAGUGAUGCCUCUCCCGACCCUGUUAAGGGAAGCUGGAGAGAGAGUGUUUGACGAUGUGUAUCCAAGGACUUAAAUCAUGUGCUAUAGAAAAGUUGAGCCUUUAAUGGCUGAACUGUCUCUGCAGCUCAACAUCCACAAUUAUAAUUUUAAAAAAAUAUUUAAAAUUUUUUAUUUUAUCUAUUUGUUUGACAACAUGCAUGUGUGUGCCCUCUCUGUGUGUGCCUGCAGAGACCAGAAGAAGAUGCCAUUAAUGGCACUGGGACUAAAGAAGGCUGUGAGUCCCCAAGUGGGUGCUUGAAACCAAAACCCAAGGCCUUUGCAAUAGCAACAAGUGCUCUUAAUGGGUGAAUCGUCUCUCCAAAAUCUAUAAUUGUUAUUUAAUAAAAGUGAAAUAUAAUGUAGAACCUUAGCUUUGUUCUUUAUAACUUCUAUGGGGACUCACACAGUUGGCUAUGUAAGUCUGUAAUUCAAGUUACUCAGCCUGUUUAAUUUCACUUGUAAUUACCAUUAGCUACUAAAAAUGAAUCCUAUUUGUUACCCCAGGAACCCCGUAGGAGAACUAAUUAUGUGUUGUCAAUGGUGAAUAAAUAACCUUUCAAUUAA